rnacentral:rRNA from 2 species
AACUGAUGAAGAGCUUGCUUUUGAUCAGUUAGCGGCGGACGGGUGAGUAACACGUGGGUAACCUGCCUGUAAGACUAGGAUAACUCCGGGAAACCGGGGCUAAUACUGGAUAACUUUUCUCUCCGCAUGGAGAGAGAUUGAAAGAUGGCUUCGGCUAUCACUUACAGAUGGACCCGCGGCGCAUUAGCUAGUUGGUGAGGUAACGGCUCACCAAGGCAACGAUGCGUAGCCGACCUGAGAGGGUGAUCGGCCACAUUGGGACUGAGACACGGCCCAAACUCCUACGGGAGGCAGCAGUAGGGAAUCUUCCGCAAUGGACGAAAGUCUGACGGAGCAACGCCGCGUGAGUGAAGAAGGUCUUCGGAUCGUAAAACUCUGUUGUUAGGGAAGAACAAGUAUCGUUCGAAUAGGGCGGUACCUUGACGGUACCUAACCAGAAAGCCACGGCUAACUACGUGCCAGCAGCCGCGGUAAUACGUAGGUGGCAAGCGUUGUCCGGAAUUAUUGGGCGUAAAGCGCGCGCAGGCGGUCUUUUAAGUCUGAUGUGAAAGCCCACGGCUCAACCGUGGAGGGUCAUUGGAAACUGGAAGACUUGAGUGCAGAAGAGGAGAGUGGAAUUCCACGUGUAGCGGUGAAAUGCGUAGAGAUGUGGAGGAACACCAGUGGCGAAGGCGACUCUCUGGUCUGUAACUGACGCUGAGGCGCGAAAGCGUGGGGAGCAAACAGGAUUAGAUACCCUGGUAGUCCACGCCGUAAACGAUGAGUGCUAAGUGUUAGAGGGUUUCCGCCCUUUAGUGCUGCAGCUAACGCAUUAAGCACUCCGCCUGGGGAGUACGACCGCAAGGUUGAAACUCAAAGGAAUUGACGGGGGCCCGCACAAGCGGUGGAGCAUGUGGUUUAAUUCGAAGCAACGCGAAGAACCUUACCAGGUCUUGACAUCCUCUGACCUCCCUAGAGAUAGGGCCUUCCCCUUCGGGGGACAGAGUGACAGGUGGUGCAUGGUUGUCGUCAGCUCGUGUCGUGAGAUGUUGGGUUAAGUCCCGCAACGAGCGCAACCCUUGACCUUAGUUGCCAGCAUUCAGUUGGGCACUCUAAGGUGACUGCCGGUGACAAACCGGAGGAAGGUGGGGAUGACGUCAAAUCAUCNNGCCCNNNAUG